rnacentral:rRNA from 1 species
UACAGAGGUCUCAAGCGUUGUUCGGAUUCAUUGGGCGUAAAGGGUGCGUAGGCGGCGCGGUAAGUCGGGUGUGAAAUCUCGGAGCUUAACUCCGAAACUGCAUUCGAUACUGCCGUGCUUGAGGACUGGAGAGGAGACUGGAAUUUACGGUGUAGCGGUGAAAUGCGUAGAUAUCGUGAGGAAUACCAGAGGCGAAGGCGGCUCCCUGGACAAUUGCUGACACUCAGGCACGAAAGCGUGGGGAGCAAAAGGG